CGGCCGCCAGGAGGAGGGGGGCUGGACGCUGGACGCUGGACGCUGGACUCCAGGCCAGGCUAGGCUCCUUUCGGCCCAACCGGCAGCGUCGAUGUCGAUGAUCGGCGGGCAGGCUUGCCCACCCCGCGCGUGCUAGCCUGGGGGGAACGCGCGCUCGGGAGCGCCUUGGGGCAAUCCUUGGGGAUGCGCGCCCGCGUUGGCACUCCCCGGUGCCUGCUCGGGUUGGCCCAUCCAAGUUCGCCGCCGCCACCCCGCCUGGCCGUUCCUUCGAGCGGCGUUCCCUGCGCCGGCGGGCACAUUUUGCUCGGCUUGCAAACGCCCCCCCCCCGCGCAGCUCUCUUCGUCCCUCCCUCUCUCCAGGGCAGAAGAACCUGUGGCUCCUCUAGAUGUUGCUGGAGUACACUUCCCAUUCUCCCUGACCGUUGGCCAUGCUGGCUGGGGCUGAUGGGAGUCCGGAGUCCGAUGCUUGAGGGUCACCGCCGCUCACCCACCUCUGCAUUAAGCAGAGAUGCUUUGAUUUAAAUUCCUGCAUUGAGCAGGGGGUUGGAUUCGAUGGCCUUAUAGGUCCCUUCCAACUCUACUAUUCUAUGAUUCUAUGCCUUCUGGAUUCCCUGCUAGCACAGCGGCAGAGCAUCUGCCCUGCAUGCAGAAGGGCCCAGGUUCAAUCCCCAGCAGGGCUGGGAGAGGCGCCUGCCUGAAACCCUGGCGAGCCGCUGCCAGUCAGUGCAGACUGCCCUUAGCUAGUUGGAUCGGUGGUGUGGCUCGCAGCUUCCUAUGUGUCGUACGUGCCACGCACCUUUGAGAAUACAAGUUGGCAGUGUUUUCCAAGAGCACUCUCAUUGGGUGUUCCUUGAGGGAAUGGGAAGGUUUGCACCCCCUACUCAGCUUGGCAUCACCUUCGGGGCAAGAGAUUUAGGUGGGCUGCACCACCCUUGGCAUUUCCUUGGAUUGCACGGGCUGGAAAAAAGAGUAGCUGGUAUCCCUUUCCAAGCGCAGCACCCUGGCAUUUCUUUCUGAUGGCCCAGUUUGGCAUCCUCUGGGAUGCUUGCACAGAUGGCACAUGAAGAGUUGCAGCUUAGGAACUUGGGGAUAUCCAAUGAAACUGAAUGUUGGAAGAUUCAAGGCAGACCAAAGAAAGGACUCCUUCACCCAGCGCAGAGUUGAGCUACAGGAUUCGCUCCCGCAAGAGGCAGCGAUGGCCACCAACGCAGAUGGCUUUGAAAGAGAAUUAGACACAUUCAUGGCGGAUAAGGCUAUCAGUGGCUACUGGCCAUGAUGGCUGUGCUCUGCCACCAUAAUCAGAGGUAAUCUGCUUCUGAAAACCAGUUGCUUGCGGGCUUCCCAUAAUGGGCAUCUGCCUGGCCACGGUGAGACCAGGACGCUGGAGUAGAUGGGCCACUGGCCUCAUCCAGCAGGCUGUUCUUAGGUUAAACAGAAUGUUGUGCGAUUCAGGACAGAUUAAAGAAAGGACUUUUUAUUGCAGUGCAUUGUCAACAGUCUGGAAUUUGCUCUACGAGAUGCAGUGAUGGCUACAGAUGGUUUUAAACAAGGAUUAGACAAAUGCAUGGAGGAUGAAGGUAUCCGUGGCUACUAGCCAUGAUGGCUUUGUUCUGCCUUUACUGCCCGAGGCAGUAGGCUUGGAAUGCCAGCUGUUGGAGACCGCAGGCGAGGAGAGUGCUGUGCUCAGGUCCUACUAGAGGGCUUCCCACGGUCAUCUGGUUGGCUGCUGUGUGAACAGGAUGUUGGACUAGACGGGCCACUGGCCUGAUCCAACAGGUGGUUCUUAUGUGUUUACGGAGCUGGGAUUCCACCCCUGUUGUCAGUCUUUCAAUGCCCCAUUUUGGCAUAGCCUCUCAGUGUGGUGGUUAGAUGCUCCUGGCAUUCGGUUUUUAGCAUGCAAACUUGGUCUCCGCAAGUCGGUCCCCACACAACAGCUAAGAAGAAAAUCAAGCUGCAGGUGGUGACAAUUCCAAAGCCUCUCUCCUUGACGCAAUGGCAAGCAGGGCUGGCAUCAGGCAGCUGCUGAGGCCCAUGUCUCUGAAGAUUGUUAUACAAAUGGCAGACUUUGGGGUUUCAGUGUCACACCUAGUUUUUUCUCUCACUCUCACCCUUGUUUUGUUUAACGUACAACAUGAAGAACCAUCCUGUAGAAUUCAAGAGCUUGCUCACUACUGUGAUGGGGGAUAGAUGGCUCAGCAAUACUACAUGUGAGAAGGAUCUUGGAAUCGUUGACCACAAGCUGAAUAUGAGCCAACAGUGUAAUGUGGCUGCAAAAAAGGCAAAUGCUAUUUUAAGCUGCAUUAAUAGUAUAGUAUCCAAAUCAUGUGAAGUACUAGUUCCCCUCUGUUCAGCACUGAUUAAGCCUCAUCUUGAGUACUGCGUCCAGUUCUGGAUACCACACUUUAAGAAGGAUGCAGAUAAACUGGAACAGAUUCAGAGGAGGGCAACGAUGAUCAGCAGACUGGAAACAAAGCCCUAUAAGGAGAGACUGAAAGAACUGGGCAUGUUUAGCCUUGAGACUGAGGGGAGAUAGGAUUGCACUGUUCAAGUCCUUGAAAGGUUGCCACACAGAGGAGGGCCAGGAUCUCUUCUUCAUCGUCCCAGAGUGCAGGACAUGGAAUAAUAGGCUCAAGUUGCAGAAAGUUAGAUUUUUGCUGAACAUCAAGAAAAGCUUCCUGUUAGAGUGGUAUGACAAUGGAACCAAUGACCUAGGGAGCUGGUGCGCUCUCCAACACUGGAGGCAUUCCAGAGGCAACUGGACAGCCACCUGAUGGGGAUGCUUUAAGCUGGAUUCCUGCAUUGAGUAGGGGGUUGGACUUGAUGGCCUUACAGGACCCUUCCAACUCUACUAUGAUUGUCUUGCUCCUUAUAAAGGUGGCUUUUGGAUUCCCACCCCCUCCCACAAUAACAGAUCAGCAUGGCUUGCCUACGUGUUUAGGUAUGAAGUCUGUCACUUUCCCCCCUCCCACUUCCUGGAGAAUUGAGCCCUUGGAUAACAUAACUGAUUGCUCUUUUUAGGCAGGGGAAGGGGGGAUCCUCAAAUCGGCUUCCCUCUUCCCCCAAGAUACCUACAUUUUAAGAUAGCUUGAUGAAAGACAAAUGGAUUCUAACUGGCCUAUGUUGCAGGACUAUUGCAAGGAUUAUGCAGUCAUAGAUAUACCCUUUCCAGAGGAGCAACUAAUUAUGUUUAUUCUAGCAAAUGCCCCCAAAAGAGCCUCCUGGCAGUCGGCACCUUCAAAGACUAACUAGCAGAUUCACUGUGGCAUAAACUUUUGCAGAUUACUAGACCCUACUCUGUCAAAUGCAGGUGUUGCAUCUGACAGGGGAUCCAACCUAGCCUACGCAAAUGUAUGCCACGGUAAAUCUGUCUGUUGGCCUUGAAGGUGUCCCCUCCCCCCCAAAUGUGCAGGAAGUACUUUGAACAGCAGAUAAGAGAAAAAUCAACGCAUUUGAAAUGUGGUGUUGGAGGAGAGCUUUACACAUACCAUGGAUUGCAAAAAAGACAAAUAAUUGGGUGUUAGAACAAACUAAACCAGAACUAUCACUAGAAGCCAAAAUAAUGAAACCAAGGUUAUCAUACUUUGGACACCUAAUGAGAAGACGUGAUUCGCUAGAAAAGACCAUAAUGCUGGGAAAAGCAGAAGGGAGUAGAAAAAGAGGAAGGCCAAACAAGAGAUGGAUUGAUUCCAUAAAGGAAGCCCAGACCCGAACUUACAAGAUCUGAACAGGGUGGUUUAUAAGAGAUGCUACUGGAGGUCGCUGAUUCAUAGGGUCUCCAUAAGUCGUAAUCAACUUGAAGGCAUAUAACAACAAGACUUACUGUGGUUCCUUGAUCUAUACUUAUUUUUACGGCUGCUCCCAGCUGGCAUCUGCCACUUCUGUGCCUUCCAGGCUGCAAUUCCACCCACCUUUGGGAAAGGAGGUAGAUGGGGGCACUGAUGUGCAUUGAAGCUUUUACCCUUUUCAGUUUUUCCCAAACUUGGGAGGGGUGGUGGUUCCUAAGCAGAAGCUGUUUAAGUAGUGGAGCAACCUUCCCAUUGCCUCUCUGAUAAUCUGCUUGUAGAGAAGUUCAGUUUUGAUUUGCCAGUCAUAGCACACGCACACAGAAAAAACACAGCAGUCCUGCAAAAGCAAAUCCUUUUUCAGAGCAAAUGUUAUGAAACGCCAACAGUGGUUAAACCCGUUACAGUCUUAUAAUCUCCUGUCCGAGGAUCCGAGUAACCGCGAUGGGAAAUUUGGCCACAAUCUCUGUGUUUGGCUUUAUUGCCUUAGCAAUAGUCUGAUGUUCACCACUUUGGGCACGCUCCUGAAAUGCACAGAGAAACUGUCUCAGGAUACAUUCAGAGAUAGAACAACGGUCCAGAAAAUGUAGUAUAUCCUCUUUUCGAUGUCAAGUUCAGACAUAGCCCUAAGAAGGGUGAAAGCUUUUCUUAAAAGGAAAUUUAUCCUGAUCCAAUCAAUAAGAUUCACACCCAUGAACUGUAAUGUACCUUGGUGCCAUUUUAGAAUUAGGGAAUGGCGACAAAUCACCUUGAGUAUAGAUGCUACCUAUCUAGGGGAACAGCCUUAGCUCGAUGGCAGAGCAACUACUUUCCAUGCAGGAGGUCCCGGGUUCAAUCCCCGACAGGUCCAGGUUGGGCUGAAAGAGACUCCUGUCUGAAAUCCUGGGGAGCUGCUUCCAGUCAGUGUAGACACUACUGGCCUAGAUGGACCAACGAUCUGACUCUGGAAGGCACCUUCCUACCUUCCCUAUGAUGCUCUGUCUUCUUAAAUGUAUACAUGCAAAAGGUUUAAAUCAAAGUCCAGGAAAAUGACCUACAGAAAACAAGAGGGCGGAGGGAGAAGUGGAAUGGAGUAUCCUGAAAGAAGGGCUGGCUGGCUGCAACACUGAACAGGUCUCACUUUUAAUCGAUAAUCUACUGAAGAACCCCAGAGGACCUUUACAUACUGCUUUCUGGGUCAUAUUCUAAGGCAGGGGGUGAUCUCUGGAUGUUGUUGACCUAGAAACCCCACCAUGGCAGAAGAUUGCCGGGGUUCUUUGUAAAUUGCUGGGAGGUCUUCUGUUGCGUACGCGGCUAUGUACAUUUUGUGAAAUAAAUUGAAAAGCCUAUCAACAUCGGCAAGGGCGUUAUAACUCGGCUGCCCCUGUUCUGUUAUGCUCCGUUCACACAAGAUGUUGAUCGUGCCCGUUUGGGCCUCAAUGGUACCUCUUGCAAAUUGCAAAGACUCACACACCUCGGCUGCACACGGCAAGGGAAGAGAAGGUGAUUGGUGGCCAAGUUGGCCGUCAGAGAAGCUGAUCCCAGUGUUGAUUUUCAUUACAGAUCAGCUUCCACCCCUGUGGAUUGGCUGAUAAAAAAGGAGUUCUGGUUUUCCCCAGAACACAGCUUGGAAAACCCGUAACAUUCUCUGCCUCCGGCUGUCUCUCUCUCUCCCAUCCCACGCAAGACAGAUCACACUCUGCUAUGCCAGAGAUGAAGCUACAUAAACAGGGGCUUCUCCCGGGAGGCCUUGUGUCCGCUCUGCUCCCAGGCUGGGACUCGAGGCUUGGAUUUCCCAGCGUCCUCCAGAGGCAUCUCCCCAGAGGCAUCUUUGCAUGCCACCCACUCUUGGCAACUCUAAAGAGCAAAUUAAAUGUCUCUCUGCAGAUCUUCAGGCCGGGAACUGAUCACAGGGUGAGGAGAGGCCUUCUCUGCUGCCAUCGUGACAUCUGUAGGGAAGAACUCCCUGUUUAAAUGUUCUGCUCGGCCUUUAGUUGGUUGGGGCUGCGUACAGUAGGGCCCCACUCAUACGGCGGGUCAUGUUCUGGACCCCCGCUGUAAAGCAAACACCACUGUAAAGCGGAACCCAUUGAAUAGAAUGGUGCGCGAUGCCCAGAAACCGCCGUAAAAGCGGAACAAG